rnacentral:rRNA from 1 species
GACAAACGCUGGCGGCGUGCUUAACACAUGCAGGUCGUACGGUAAGGCCCUUUCGGGGGUACACGAGUGGCGAACGGGUGAGUAACACGUGAGUAACCUGCCCACAACUUUGGGAUAACGCUAGGAAACUGGUGCUAAUACUGGAUAUGUGCUCCUGCUGCAUGGUGGGGGUUGGAAAGCUCCGGCGGUUGUGGAUGGACUCGCGGCCUAUCAGCUUGUUGGUGGGGUAGUGGCCUACCAAGCCGACGAUCAGUAGCCGACCUGAGAGGGUGACCGGCCACAUUGGGACUGAGACACGGCCCAA